rnacentral:rRNA from 1 species
GACGAACGCUGGCGGCGUGCCUAAUACAUGCAAGUCGUGCGGACCUUGUUGAAAGCUUGCUUUUAAAAGGUUAGCGGCGGACGGGUGAGUAACACGUGGGCAACCUGCCUGUAAGACUGGGAUAACGCCGGGAAACCGGGGCUAAUACCAGAUCGUUUUUUCCUCCGCAUGGAGGAAAAAGGAAAGGCGGCUUCGGCUGCCACUUACAGAUGGGCUCGCGGCGCAUUAGCUAGUUGGCGGGGUAAUGGCCCACCAAGGCAACGAUGCGUAGCCGACCUGAGAGGGUGAUCGGCCACAUUGGGACUGAGACACGGCCCAAACUCCUACGGGAGGCAGCAGUAGGGAAUCUUCCGCAAUGGACGAAAGUCUGACGGAGCAACGCCGCGUGAGUGAAGAAGGCCUUCGGGUCGUAAAACUCUGUUGCCGGGGAAGAACAAGUGCCGUUCGAACAGGGCGGCGCCUUGACGGUACCCUGCCAGAAAGCCACGGCUAACUACGUA